AAAGCUCGUAGUUGGAUUUCUGCUGUGGUCAUCCGGUACCGCCCGUAUGGGUGCGCACCUGGUUUGGCUGCGGCUUUCUUCCUGUAGCCGUCCGCGCUUAAUUGCGUGCGUUGUGUUGCGGAACUUUUACUUUGAGAAAAAUAGAGUGUUUCAAGCAGGCUUGUCGCCCUGAAUACUUCAGCAUGGAAUAAUAGGAUAGGACCUUGGUUCUAUUUUGUUGGUUUCUAGGACCAAGGUAAUGAUUAAUAGGGACAGUUGGGGGCAUUCGUAUUUAACUGUCAGAGGUGAAAUUCUUAGAUUUGUUAAAGACGAACUACUGCGAAAGCAUUUGCCAAGGAUGUUUUCAUUAAUCAAGAACGACAGUAGGGGGUUUGAAGACGAUUAGAUACCGUCGUAAUCUCUACCAUAAACUAUGCCGACUAGAGAUAGGGAAAUGCCUACCUUGGCUUCUCCUG
rnacentral:rRNA from 1 species